CAGAAAUCGAUGAGAGGAACUAGUAACAGGUGGUUAUUCGAUCAGAGAGCCGGUGGAUGGUGCGAACCGGAGGAAGACGCUUGUGAAUCCGUCCUUGAGAGAAACGCUGAACCAUGAUUGUAGUAGGCGUUUACGGAAAAACCGUUAUUUUUUUAAGUGGAAAGCUGUUGUGUUGGCUUUCAACUAGGGUGGCAACGCGGGUCUAACUCGUCCCUUUU
rnacentral:ncRNA from 1 species